rnacentral:rRNA from 1 species
AUCAUGGCUCAGGACGAACGCUGGCGGCGUGCUUAACACAUGCAAGUCGAACGGUAAGGCCCUUCGGGGUACACGAGUGGCGAACGGGUGAGUAACACGUGGGUGAUCUGCCCUGCACUUCGGGAUAAGCCUGGGAAACUGGGUCUAAUACCGGAUAGGACUCCUGGCUUCAUGGUUGGGGGUGUAAAGCUUUUGCGGUGUGGGAUGGGCCCGCGGCCUAUCAGCUUGUUGGUGGGGUAAUGGCCUACCAAGGCGACGACGGGUAGCCGGCCUGAGAGGGUGACCGGCCACACUGGGACUGAGAUACGGCCCAGACUCCUACGGGAGGCAGCAGUGGGGAAUAUUGCACAAUGGGCGCAAGCCUGAUGCAGCGACGCCGCGUGAGGGAUGACGGCCUUCGGGUUGUAAACCUCUUUCAAUAGGGACGAAGCGCAAGUGACGGUACCUAUAGAAGAAGGACCGGCCAACUACGUG